rnacentral:rRNA from 1 species
UACGUAGGGGGCAAGCGUUGUCCGGAUUUAUUGGGCGUAAAGAGCGUGUAGGCGGCCAGGUAGGUCUGCUGUGAAAACUCGAGGCUCAACCUCGAGCUGUCGGUGGAAACUGUCUGGCUAGAGUCCGGAAGAGGAGAAUGGAAUUCCUGGUGUAGCGGUGAAAUGCGCAGAUAUCAGGAAGAACACCCGUGGCGAAGGCGGUUCUCUGGGACGGUACUGACGCUGAGACGCGAAAGCGUGGGGAGCGAACAGG